rnacentral:rRNA from 1 species
UACGAAGGGGGCUAGCGUUGUUCGGAAUUACUGGGCGUAAAGCGCGCGUAGGCGGAUCUGCAAGUCGGGGGUGAAAUCCCGAGGCUUAACCUCGGAACUGCCUUCGAUACUGCGGGUCUCGAGUCCGGGAGAGGUGAGUGGAAUUCCUAGUGUAGAGGUGAAAUUCGUAGAUAUUAGGAAGAACACCAGUGGCGAAGGCGGCUCACUGGCCCGGUACUGACGCUGAGGC